CCUUAUAGCUCAGUGGUAGAGCGCCAGUCUUGUAAACUGGAGGUCCGUAGUUCAAUCCUGCGUGAGGGCAAUUUCAUUUUUCUCAAAUUGUUUUUUUAAAUUUGUAUCUCCAUCUCCUCUCAAUAAUUGUUCUCUUUUUUGCCUUGUCGCCUUCCCCAAUUCAAUAAGAGCAGAUUUUGCCCUAAUUCUGCUCUUCCGAAAAGAAAUCAAAAUCAGAGUUCAAACAUCAAAAUGCUAAACUCCCCAAUUUUGUUCAGGCUGAAUCCCUAAAAAUCUCAUUAAUUUUAACCGUCUUCCUCAUUUUAACUCUCAUACCAAGAAAAAAUGGCUAGGCUUUUGCGAGAACUGAUUCGAAAGCCAUCAACUUCUAGCAGAUUCAUUGCGACAUUGUCCCAUCAAAACCCCACUAAUCUCUCUCCUUCAUUGCUGUUUAACCAGUCAAUUCUUUUCGGUAAAACCAAUUUUGACAAUGGAGGUGGGUUAAACCCUAGCAGCAACCAGGGUUUAGCAGAAGCGACCCAUUUCAGCAAAUCGCAGAUUUAUCCGAGUUUCUCACUUGGGUAUUUCUUGGACCCGAUUUCGCCACCUGGUCUGGUAUCUGAGCCCGAAGUGGAGGAUCGGGGAAUGAUGUGGGCUGAUAGUGUGAAGAAGAAGAGGAAGAAGAAGAUGAACAAGCAUAAGUAUAAGAAGCUCAGGAAACGUCUUCGUCGAAAGACCAAGACUUGAUCAGGCUUUUCAGAGUUCAGACUAUUUCUUCUAAGCAUAUCUAGUGAUCGUUUCAACUGAAGCAUUAAUGUGGCUGGAUUUAUGAGCGUAUUUGGGUCCAUUGCUUUCUUGUUCAAGCCGCGAAUAUGAUACUUCUUUCAUUAUGAAGAUAGUUAACUUAGAACAUCAAUAAAGGGAAGACUCUUUAUAUUGGGGAAGGCUCAUUUUCCAGAUAUUCCUAGUCUCCAAUGAAGAAUUUUGGCUUUUUAACUUCUAUCCAGUGGAUUUAUUUUGCUUGAGACAUUAAUAUGGUGUAACUUUAUUUUAUUUUAUUAUUGAUUGAUUUUUUUGCAUGAUUUUCUUAGUAAAGAUUUAACCUUUUAAUUCCUAAAGUUUUUUCCAAUUGUAAUCUUUCUUGCAAGACUUGCAUCUCUUGUUGUGAAAAAACUACACCGUAAGGGCUUACUUGGUGAGGCGCUUGCCUGAUUGAAUUAGAGAGACUGAUUUGCUUUGUUAUA